UCACAGUGCUCUCUCGUGCUCUCUCUGUCUCCAGUGAUAAGCUGACCAGAUGCCUUGAAUUAAGUACAGAUUUGUUUUCCAAAGGCUAUAUGACAUGUGAUAUUGGAACAGGUUGAAUCCAAAAGCACAUAUGAGAAUCCAACAGUAUUCUACUAAACUAGACAUUAAAGAGAUUAGCAAAAAUGUAAAACAACGCCACUCUUCUCAUUAACAGUUUGUUUUGGGAAAUAUAGUUAUAUUUCAUUAAAAUGUGUGAUGUAUGCUGAAAUGCAGUAGGAGAAUUUGAGAUUUAUUGUGCUUCCUGAAUCUAACGAUUCAUGUCUUCUACCUGUUCUGGAAAAUUCUCACCAAUUAUCUCUUUAAAUAUUUCUCAUAUCCCCUCAUUCUCUUUCAUCCAUGUAGAAUAUCAUCAGUACAACAUAUAUGUGUCCUUCAAAUGCUCACAUAUUCAAUGUUUUUUAUAUUUUUCCAUUCUUGCAACUCUGUGCUGCACUUUAGGUACUUCCCUCAGAUUUUUCCAGUUUGCUAAUUCUUUUUACAACUGAAUCUAAUUUGGUUAUUUAAGUAUUCCAUUGUAUUCUAAAAUUUGAUUAUCACUUUUUUAUUUUUUAGAAGUUCUACUUUAUUUUAUAAAACCUGUCAGGCCUUGUUUAUGUGUGUGUUCUUAGUUACAUCUUAUUCCUGAUACUGUUU
rnacentral:lncRNA from 1 species